rnacentral:rRNA from 1 species
GUCCACGCAGUAAACGAUGGAUACUAGCUGUUGGGUGCAAACUCAGUGGCUAAGCGAAAGUGAUAAGUAUCCCACCUGGGGAGUACGUUCGCAAGAAUGAAACUCAAAGGAAUUGACGGGGCCCGCACAAGCGGUGGAGCAUGUGGUUUAAUUCGAUGAUACGCGAGGAACCUUACCAAGGCUUAAAUGUAGUUUGACAGAUUUUGGAAACAGAUUUUUCUCGGACAAAUUACAAGGUGCUGCAUGGUUGUCGU